UACGAAGGGGGCGAGCGUUGUUCGGAAUCACUGGGCGUAAAGGGCGCGUAGGCGGCCCUUCUUGUCGCGUGUGAAAGCCCCGGGCUCAACCUGGGACGGCGCGCGAGACGGGAGGGCUGGAGUUCGGGAGAGGAGCGUGGAAUUCCCAGUGUAGAGGUGAAAUUCGUAGAUAUUGGGAAGAACACCGGUGGCGAAGGCGGCGCUCUGGACCGAGACUGACGCUGAGGCGCGAAAGCGUGGGGAGCAAACAGG
rnacentral:rRNA from 1 species